rnacentral:rRNA from 1 species
GUCUGGAGCCCUUCGACCCUGGCUUGAUCUUGGAAGCUUAAGCAGGGUAGGGACUGGCUAGAACUUGGAUGGGAGACUGCCUGGGAAAACCAGGUGCUCAAAAAC